rnacentral:rRNA from 1 species
GUCCACGCUGUAAACGAUGAACACUAGAUAUUGGAGGAUUUGACCCCUUCAGUGUCGUAGCUAACGCGUUAAGUGUUCCGCCUGGGAAGUACGGUCGCAAGACUAAAACUCAAAGGAAUUGACGGGGGCCCGCACAAGCGGUGGAUUAUGUGGUUUAAUUCGAAGCAACGCGCAGAACCUUACCUAGGCUUGAAAUCCUACGAAUCCCUUUUAAACGAGGGAGUGCUCUUCGGAGAAUGUAGUGACAGGCGCUGCAUGGCUGUCGU